GGCUUCUCACAUAGGUUUAGUUUCUGGUCCAGGAAACAUGUCACCGUCUCUGCCUUUUACAAGAUUGCAAUGGUUAGCAAAAAGAAUGACCUCAUCUCCUUGGCUCAAGUUAUAAGCUUGCCCAAUCUCUGGAACCUUCUAUGACUCAGGGUGGCAGGUCAGGAUGAUAAUCUGAAAACUGUCAUCAUAAGAAACAGAUACCUGCCAAUAACUCUGGAUGGCCACUUGGAAGGCUGCUAUUACAUGGACCUACCAACAUUUUCUAAGUGUGUCUCUCACUUUGCAUUUCCUUCACAUUUUUCCCAUUACUUGGAUCUUCAGCCUCACAUUGUUGUACACCAAUCAACACUCCCUGAGAAGGAAUCAACAUGGACUGGACAAGGAUUUGCUCACAGCCACCCCAUAUCUGGGUGGAGGGGCUGUCAGCAUUCCUGCACCUUUGAGCUGGAGAAGCAGCCGUGGGGCGAGGCUGCUGCAUGUGUGCUCAUUUACUUCUUGGACAAAGAGACGUGCCGUACUGACUACUGACCAGGCAUUGCGCUGGGCACAGUCAGAGGAACCUUCCAGCAAGCCUCUCACCUGCCUUCCUAAGGAGCAAGUGUGUUGUGAUGCUGAGUCCCCUCAGACUACAACCGCACAAGGACACAUUCAUCUACAUGUGAAAGAGCGUGAGCCCGAGAAGGAGGACCAACAUCUCCUAAAACGAGAAAUCACUCCCUGUCUUACCCAUAAGUGGCACCGUCUCACCUUACCCGGGAAGCCCUGUUUGACUCUUGGAAUGCUUACAGAUCUCCAUAUCCCUGAAAUCCUAUGA
rnacentral:lncRNA from 1 species